rnacentral:lncRNA from 1 species
AAAAAAAAAAAAAAAAAACUUUUGGGACAUAAAUUAGCACGAUAUGUCAUUGUUCUCGUAGCGCAGAAUCGCUAACUUAGCUACUAGUAAAAUUAUCGACACGCCCUCUUGAGCGAGAAAUUUAUCAGGUUCAGACCACAGCUGUCCUUCUGGACCCUGUUGAGCUCUGCUUCUGGGAACAAUUAGAACUGAUCUGUCAGACUAAGUUUUUGAAAAAUCACACCAAACAGUCAUUGGAUCCCUGCUGGAUCCCUGCUUCGCCCAAAAGCUGCUGCCAAAGUUGUGGGGCUAAACUUGCCCUUAGUGCAGUUAUCAGUCAGUAACUUUCUUUCAAACUCUUGCUUCAACUCGUGGGCCUUGAUUGGGGCCUAUGGGCUCGCACUGCAAGCCUAUGUGAGUUUCAUUAAUUAGGCUAACAAGAACAGAAAUUUUAUAUUUGAUUUGGAAAAAGAAGGAAAAUCACUUAUUAUUAUAUAUAAACACAUUACACUGAAAUGUUACUAACAAUUUGAAAUAAGACUUCAACAAAUUAUGCCUAAUUUUGAGCCCAUAUGCCAUGAGCAUACUCACAAACAACAUAAAUGAAUUACAUCCAAGAAUUGAACUGCAUCAAUUAACUCAAUCCCGGCUCGCAAACAAUCUGGGCCCUAAAGCUUAAGUGAGAACCGCACGCAAACUAUAUGACUAGUAGAUCAAACAGUAGAGAAAUUACAGAAAUCACGCAAGCAUUCCCUCAACAAAUGGGUAGGUCGACCGGCGGCGGCAGCACCGACUCCAGCAGCCCGACGCCGUUCUCCACCUGGAACGCCAUCGCGAGGCCCCACGUGAGGUGUGAGUCGAUGUGGCAGUGCACGAACCAGAUCCCGGGAUUGUCCGCCCUGAACCGGAUCACGGCCCAGCCGCUAACCGGCACUCCGACCGUGUUCCGCAUCGGCGGGUCGACGAGGUUGAACUUGGCCGGGUCGCGCACGGGGUCGUAGUUCCCGAACCCGGUCGCGAGCACGUAGAACUGGUACCCGUGGAUGUGCAUGGGGUGUUCCUCUCCCACAAAGAUGUUGGUCCCCUGCAUCACAAGUUGCACCACGGACCCGAACUUCAAUCUGUACACUUUGGUCCCGCGCACGGGCUGCUGCAAUGAACGGCUGAUAUUGUUCGCCGUGUAAUCGAACGGGAUCGGAGGGACGGGGGGAAAGUCGGAGGUGAAUACACCUGGAAUGCCGAAAUAAUCUGCUUGUAGUAUCGAGACCGUUCUCGGUUGUGUGAACGAGAUGUUAUUCAUGCUGGCGCCAAAACGGGUUCCGUUUGGACCCCCACAUGGCUUUGAACGGGGGCAGUUGAACAGGCCUAGCCCCACAGUGAAGAACAGGUGCUCGUCGACCGGGCCGGGGAGAUCCACCGGGCCGAGGCUUCGAAGCCCCGCGACGAAUGCGGUCUUCGCGGGGGUGUCGUUAAAGGCCGGGAGGACGGGGAGCCUCGGCGGGGGGCCGCCGGCGCCGCAGGCGCCGGAUUUGUAUUCGAGGAUCGCGGUGGUGGUGGUGUUGUCGAAGGGGAUGCCACGGCCGCUCUCAUAGACGUGCGCAGCGAGGUAGUACCGGCCGGGGGGCUGGUUGGUGGUCACGAGGACGUCGGUGGUCUGCCCCGGUGCGAGCAUGAGGUAGGGGGUGGUGUAGGGCUUGGUGUAGGCGGCGUCGAUGCCGACAACGGUCAUGGAGUGGCCGGCGAUGGAUAUGAAGUGCUCGUUUUCCAUCGCCGCGUUGACGAACCGGAGGAGGUUGGUCUCACCGGCCGCCACCGGAAGUAUAGUGGUCUCUGCAGUUCAAAUUCAUUAAAUUCGGUCAAUUUCAUCGAGUUAACAAUAACCAACUUAUUAGAUUUACCAAUCGACAUUAAAAUUAGCUCAGCUAGUAAGUAUAAUUAUUAUAAUUAGAUUCAAUUAGUGGACUAACAAAGAGAUUUUUUGAGCUUUUUGGGCUUUUUUUCCCCCCCUUUUUUUUAAAAAAAAUUAGACUUGCCUUUGCUGGAGCAUUCGAAGAAAUCUCCGGGUUGGCCAUUGAUUGUGUAAGCGUCUGACGUGUUUGGAGCUGCCCCUGUCUUAAGUGCUUGCCUUAUAACCUGCAUUGGGUCCCUAUUCCACCAUUCCCCUGUUUUAAUCAGAGUAUCAAGUUUUUUAAUUAAAUUACUCUUACUUGUCAAUUUUAUUCAGAUUAUAAACCCUGUUUAUUUAAUCUUAUUUUCAUGGAUUAUUACCAAUAAUUACAGGGAAUUCUCUUUGGGGCUUGGGGAAUGGAUAGGUGGUGCCCUCCUUAGGACGGAUGACGAUGGCGCCGUGCACGGUGGCCCUGAGCCACGAGUUGUGCGCGUGCCACCACAGCGUGCCCUCUUGCUUUUGUAUUGUGAACCGGUACGUGUAGCUCGCCCCGGGCCGGAUCGGGCACUGAGUCACGAACACCGGCCCAUCGGCCCACCCGUUCCUCAACUGUCGAACCCCGUGCCUAAUCCACAACGAAAUAAUCAAAUUUUUUUUUUAAAAAAAAUUAAGGACAUUAAAAAGAAAAUAUAUAUUUAGAGGUGCAGGUCUUAAGUAUAGGUGUUGAAAAGGUCAAGCUUGCCACUUUUUUAAUCAAAAUUUGCCGCAUGGUCAAACUAUUUUACUUAGUGACAAAUUGACCAAGAAAGGGCGCGCACAGAGCACCAUCUUCUAGAAAUAAUAGCUACUACCUAAUUUUGAUUAAGUUACUUUUAAUAUAAGCUGUUUUCAUAUAUGUAUGUUAUGUUACGAGAUGUGAAUGUAAAGCUUGUUGCAUGCAUUUUAAAGAGAGAAAAUGUGCAUGUGUAUGUAUGUAUGUAUAUAUAUAGUCAUAUACGUAGAGAAUUAAUAAAACAGUACCAGUGGAGGGUGAGGUUGUAUUUUGCCUUGUUCACAGCUUUAAUCACCAGAGAGUCUCCAUUAUUAACCUCCAAUGUAGGCCCUGGAUAUUGCCCGUUCACCGUAAUGACGUGGUUGGUUCUGCACAGCCUCUUCACUGGCGUAGCUUCAACCUAUCCAUCAAUUCAGAUCACCACAUAAAACACCAUGAACAUUAAGUUAAAAAAAAAGAUCACUAUUACUACUACUUAUAGUGCUUGUACAUUGUAGGAAACAUACAACAAACUCAUGGUAGUGAACUUUGGCACUUGUGUAAGUGAAAAACAUGAAGAGCCAUAGAAGAAUAGAGGAAACGGAGGUUGCGCUGAUGAUCUCCAUUGCUUUUCAACUGAUAAUUUGGAGACCUAGGAUGUUGUGAUGCAAUCAAAUGGCAACGGGGAUGUGUUUAUUUAUAGCGCGAGGGAAUUAAAGGUAAUGGGGUUGUUUUGAGGUUGGAAGAUUAGGUUUAAUGAUUUGUGGAGAUGAUUUUGUCGUUUCUAAGCUUGCUAGGUCAAAUUGAUGGCCACAUUUCUGUUAAAUCCUAUAGGAGUUGUUGACCAACUAGUCUAACCAUCACUUGAGAUGGAUGGCUAAGUUGUUCCAUUAGCGCUUGUCGAUACAAGGAACACCCCUUCAAAAUUAACUAAUUUUCACGUUAACUACUGAAAUAAUGUCAAAUUUAUUCUUACAUAUAUACUUUUAUGCAGAUUAAUAACUUCCGAUUGAAUGUUGUUAUUCUUAUAAGUAAAUAUUUACGCUGAGAAGAACUUUGUCCAUUACCAUAAGUUGUUCUUAAGUUUGAGUGACUUUCUAUGAAAAAUAUGAGGUUUUAAACUUUUUUUUUUUUCUUUUCACAGAUGUAUAGAUCUGUUUUUAUUUGAUACAAUUGAUUCCAGUCAAAUUACUACUGGACUUUUAGGUGUAAAUUUAAACUAUGCAAGUCUAGAUACCUUGAGGAGUAAGCAUUGGCUUUUGAAAAAAUGUAACAAGACCACUAGUCAAAAACUAUCAUUUAUACUUGUACCAAACAAUUCCCAGGCCCCCUUUUGUUUAUCUAAUUUGUAUUCUCAAAGCAGAGAAUACUUUAUGCAGGAGUUUGGUUAGGGUUCGUUAGGGAAGGUAAUAUAUGUUUCCCUAAAGUAAAUAACUCUGUCCUUUUGAUUGACCCAUGGAAAGAAAUUAGGAGUCUAAAAAGUCCACAUGAAGGUUUUUGCUUCCACACCAUUUUGUUUUUUAACAUUUUUUUAAUCCAAAAGACAUUUUUUAAUCGAAAAGGAAGAUAUAGGAAAUCAAAUUUACCAACUGUGUUUAGUAGCAAUCACAAUCAAGUAGAAAUCUGCUACCAGCAAGGCAGCAACAUAUGUUACUAUGUUCUUGUUUUUUUUAUUUCCCUCUCUUGUUUGGGUAGUUUGUUUGUGCUUUUCUCAAUUAAGUCAUCUAUUAGACUUAACAACGCUUUUAUCGUCGACUAGAGGAUAUAUCUAGUGACGUGAACUGAAUUCUGAUACCAUAUUAAAAAAUUUAGAUCCAAUAAGUUGAUAGAUAAUCAAACAGUCGGUCUAAUUUUGGUUGCUCGUAAAUACAUUUAUUUAGAGAAAGAUAGCAAGAUACUCAUCUUCUUCUUUCUUUUUCUUUUUAGAAAUAAACUUAAUUAAGAAUAUAAAUCAAUUAGAUCUCAAAGUUAGAACCUUGGGUAUUAAUAAUUAAGUUCUCAGUCAACUGCAGCAGAUACAGUCAGUGGUCGCUUGUAAAAGUUAGUUUCUAUUGUAAUAGAAGUUAACUUAGUAAAUCAACCAGGUAGGUUAGAACCUUGGGUAUUAAUAAUUAAGUUCUCAAUCAACUGCAGAAGAUAGUUGUUGCUUGUAAAAGUUAGUUUCUAUUGUAAUAGAAGUUAACUCAGGAAAUCAACCAGGUAGGUUUUAUCCAGCGAAUAGAUUAAGAUCCACAAUAAUCGACAUAAAUGCACCAGUUUUUCAACACAAAAUCAACAUGAUACAUCACGAUUAGCAAGAGCACGUAGAACCUUUGUUAAUUAUAUAAAGUGGGUGCGGAUUUAGCGUCCCCACAUGGUUAUGAGAUGCUAGAAUCAACCUGCUCGUGGAAAAACACACUGAAAAAGUUGAAAACGAAAUGAGAAGUAGUAAUCUAAAAUUGCAGGGCGCGAUGGUCAAUAGCAACAACGAUUCGUUUGAGACUUACACUCUCGCCAAACUUUUAGUAUUACAAAAAUAAAAACCAGUAAUGUAAAGGACGCGCUGAUAAACUGUUUCAAAAGUUAAUGAAAAGGACUUUAACCAACUGGAACAUAAUUUUCGAUUAUAGUAAUAUAUGAAAUAGUUUAUUACUGUGCACUUUUCACUACAGGCCAAGAGACAGUGUUUAUAGUUAAAGCCCAAUCAAUUGAUUUAUAGUGUGAGUAGGCUGAUCCAUUUCAAGCCCAAUUAAUUGACUUAUAGUGGAGCCCAAUCACUUAAUGGGCCUAGAAUGGUUCAGAGUUGGCCCGCCAUUUGUAUUGUUGAAUAAGUAGUUUUUUGAGUUAAUUGCUCGGAAUGAACCCAACAUUGUGGCAUGAUCUGUUUUCAUUAAAAUAAUAAUAAUUAGAUAAAAGUGUAGAGAACUUACAUGAACGUCAGAUCCUAUUGAUCUUACGCUUCCAAUUCGGAGGCCUGAUUAGGGUUCAAUAUUCGGACCCUAAUUGGAUCCAAGUUUAAAGGGCACAAGUAUAAUUAAAACCUUUUCGAAUUUGGAUACUUUAAUGGAUCCAACCCAAGCCCAACCCGUUCACACCUAUAUUUCUCUACCGACACGUCUACCGGCCCACUAACUUCUAGCCCUGCUUAUUGAUUUGUAUAUAUAUAUAUAUAUCUAAAAUAUUAAGUCCAAAUUUAAUUUUUUAUACUUAAUUUUAUUAAUUUUUAAUUUGAAUUAAAUAUAUAAAAGAAUACUUUUUUUUUUUUUUGAGAAUAGGUAGCACCUGCUUAAUUCAUUGAAAGAGUGAAUUCAGCUACAAGGGUGAGACAACUAAAGCCUGAGUCACCAGCAGGUACCAAAAAAACAAAAAAAAAAAAAAAAGAAGAAGAAGAACAAUCAAUCAUAGAAGGUCAUUUCAAGAAGUGAUAUUGAGCCUAUGCACCGCUAGAACAGGGUCCAGUUGAAAAGAAUACAUUUUCUUAUUUACACUCUACUAUUAUUUAAAAUUUUUCAAAUGUACUUUUAUAUACCGAUAAAUUAGAUAUGGUUGAAAUUUUAACAAUGUUACGAGCAGGGGUAAAUUAAGACAUUAUCCCAAAAAAAUAACAAGGUUAGCGAGAGUAACGGCCCGUUAUUCUCACGAGCCCGGUAAUCUUACCGUUUUCGUGCUCCUCCUCGCCCUUCUCGUGAUCUCCUGCAUUCUCCUCUCCUCUCCUCUCCUCUCCUCUCUCCGCUCGUAAACGAUGAUGGAUCCCGAGACCUACCUAGGGUUCGAAUCACCGGGCCCCCGCGCCGAGGACAUGGAAACCCUAGCCCUCUCCGACGCCCCCUCCGAUUACCGCAGCGCCAUCUCCUCCUUCUCCGCCGCCGCUGAUGGCGGGGACGAUCCCGCUCGCUCGCUCCCUCCGCCUCCCCCGUACCCUGUCUCCCCCUCCCCACCCCCUUCCUACGCCGAUGUCGUCCCCAGCCCCUUCCGAUCCCAAGACCCCGCCGCGGAUCUCGCCGCGCCCGCCGAUUACGUCGCGAUCGCCGUCUCCGAGCCGCAGAAGGAGCAGGACGCGGGCGGGGUCUACGUCAGCUACCUCGUCGCCAGCCGAUGGCGCGGCGGGGAGGAGCGCCGCGUGCGGCGGCGCUUCCGCGAGGUGGUGNCGCCGUCUCCGAGCCGCAGAAGGAGCAGGACGCGGACCGCCUCGCCGAGGCCUACCGCGGGUUCCUCGUCCCGCCGCGCCCCGACAAGGGCGUGGUCGAGGGCCAGGUGAUGCAGCAGCACGAGUUCCUGGAGCUGCGCCGCGCCGCGCUCGAGCGCUACCUGCGGCGGCUCGCCGCGCACCCCGCGAUCGGGCGGGGCGACGAGCUCCGCGCGUUCCUGGAGGCGCCCGGGAGGUUCACGGACGGGGCGGCGCAGCCUCCGAGUCACGCGCCACCGCAGGAGGCGGUGCACCCCGCGAAGGGUGGGAGGGACUUGCUCCGGAUCUUCAAGGAGCUCAAGCAGUCGGUGGCGAACGACUGGGGCGGGGCGAAGCCUCCCGUGGCGGAGGAGGAUAGGGACUUCUUGGAGAGGAAGGAGAAGAUGCAGGAUCUGGAGCAGCAGCUCACCACUUCUUCCCAGCAGGUGUGUUGAUAUCAAAGGAAAUGUCGUCUUAAUUCUUUUCUUUGAGAUCUGCUAACUGAUAAUAUGUUAUUGCAAUUUCAUUUUGCGAUUAGAAUCUUCUUUUUCCAUCAUGGAUCAUUUAGCUAGGAAAAUGAAACAAUAAGAAACAAAUUGAUGAGGAAUCAGAUUAAAUAGAUGGAAGGUUACGAAGAAAGCAGAAUCUCGAUAAGUAGAUUUAAGAGUCGCGUCACAUAUGUACUUACGAACCCUACUCUAUAACUGAUCGAUGGCUGUUUCGCUUUACCUGAAUUGAAGUAGAGUCUUAUGUUUUUUUUAAUUUGUAUAGCUGAAAACUGGACCGGUUAUUUAUAGUAUCGAUUUAUGUUAUAGUUUCCUCGACAAAUGUAUCAUCUAUGAGCUGUGAGUAAUUAUGAAGCAGUAUUACAUAAGAGGUGAGAUUGUGUAAAGAGAAAACUGAGCAAAUGUGAGAAGAAUCCUUGGUUCAAAGAAAAGUAUGGUUGUUUCACUUCGGUUCCUCGGUCAUCCAAUGAGAUGGAGGAGGAUCACAAGCAGAAUAUGGUUUGUCAUUUGGUUUUAAAUACCUACUGUUUUUUCAGGCAUAAAUUUGGAGGUGCCUUUAUGCUGCUUGCAAACACUAAAUUAUAUAAAAAUCAUCUUUUUCUAUGCCGGUGAGUAUUCCUUCUUAUUUAUUCUUAAUAGAUGUCCACUUCAUGCUUCAACAAUUUUCUGUGUAGAAUGAUGGUGUUAGUGUUAAGGUGUUCAUACAUGAAGAUUAGUGACAUGUUGAAAAAGAGCUAAAGGUUUGGUUGAUGUAUACUAAGAUAUUGGUUGAAUGGGUUAAAAAUUCCAAUGAGAUUGUGUGUGUGUGUGUGUGUGUGUGUGUGUGUGUGUUGUGUCAUCCUAGGUUAAUUUGUAAUUUGCACUUGAGCUUCCUUUAUCUCCCAACAGUGGCAACUUCAUAAAAUGAACAUUUCUUAAGAAAACAGAUCUUUAGAUUAAUUUCCAUAUUUCUAAUACUCAAGAGAGUUUUGGACGUAUUGAACUGACCAUGGCACUCGUAACCUUUAUCUCCUUUCUGGUUAUAAUUCAGGCUGAAGCACUUGUUAAAGCCCAGCAGGAUGUUGGUGAAACAAUGGGACAAUUAGGGCGAGUAUUUAUCAAACUAACAAAGCUUGAGACUGAGGAAGCAAUUUAUAAUUCUCAAAGAACAAGGGCUGCUGAUAUCAAGCGCGUAGCAGUUGCCACUGUCAAAGCUGGCAGAUUGUACCGAGAAUUAAACGCUCAAAUAGUCAAACAUCUGGUAAAAUAAAGGCUUUUGCGCGGGCCUUAUUUUUCUUUUGUUCAACUUGUAGUUAAUAACUUGUAUAACGUUCUUUUAAGCAGGAGGUUCUCCAUGAAUAUCUAGAGUUAAUGUUGGCUGUUCGAAGUGCAUUCUCAGAUCGGGCAAGUGCAUUAUUGACGGUACAAACACUUGUAUCCGAUUUGUCAUCCAUACAAGCAAGGGUAGAGAAACUUGAAACUGCAUCGUCCAAGGUAUUUGGUGGUGAUAGGUGGAGACUCCAUAAAAUAGAGGAGCUGAAAGAAACAAUAAGAGCUACUGAAGAUGCUAAAACCUUUGCUCUAAGAGAAUACGAAAGGAUCAAGGUAUUUGUGUUUUUCUUUUUUUUUGUAUUUGUCUCUCUCUCUCUCUCUCUCUCUCUCUCUCUCUCUCUAUGUUUGUAUGUAUAACAACAUACGAAGUGGAAAAUAUUCCACUUUUUAAAUAGCAAAGAUUAAUAUUUAUUGUUAAUUAAUUGCUUAAGACAUAAACAUUAGCAUUUAGCGACUUUCUGGGCUCUUUACUUCUCUUUCUCUACCUUCAGAUUUCGUCUGAAAUUUUAAUACAUUGACACAUAUAUGAGUACUACUUUGCGGUUAUUUGUUCAUUAUAAUAUAUUAUUCUUUUGCUCAAAUUAUACAUAUUGGGAUUCAUUAAUUUAAUCAUGAUGACUUGAGUGCUCUUCUUUAAUUUCAGUUUUUUCUUAGCAUUUUCUUUCAAGCUUAAUCCUGCUGCUUUUUUAAUUUUUAAUCAAGUUUUUCCUUUAGCUUUCUAGUUUUGUGUUCUUGCAAGUUACUUUCUUUACCUGUUCUAUCAUCUCCAUUAGAUUUUUAUGAUAAUAUGUGCCACUUCUCCAAUUAACGGAGACAUUUUUUCCUUGAAUCUUGUUAAUGACAUCUGAAUCUGCAGAGGUCAAUGUUAUUAAUCAAUGUGGAUGAUGGUUCUCUAAAUCAAGAUCAAUUCAUCCAACACUGCUGCCGGAUGAAUGUUAUUAUGUUUUGAACUUAAUUAUGAGUGAACAAACAUGACUCUGCCGAAAAGAAUGUGGGUACAGGUACAUUAUUAGAUUUCAUGCAGUUGUCUGAUUUACUUGCGGUGUAAUGCAGGAAAUCAACCGCAGUGAACUGGAGAGACUGGACAGAGAAAGGCAUGAUGAUUUUCUAAGCAUGCUCAAAGGAUUUGUAGUAAACCAGGUAUUUCUUUUCCCUAACAAUAUUGCCCAAACUUCAACAGCUACCGUUUGGACAAAAUGCCUCAACUCUUUCAGUUACUAUUUUAUUUUGGCGAUCCACAGGGCCACGGCGCUUAGUUUCUUUCCCUUCUUGUUGUGCUUGUUUAGAGGUCUAGCGAGCAAAAAUUUGUCGAUUUUCUAUCAAAGCUGAUUUUUCUUUCUUCUAAAUCUUUCGUGUUAUUGGAGUAAAGACACCGGCCACAUGCCACUAUGCUUCCAUCAAUAUAUAGAAAAUGUACUAAACAGCUCACUUCUGUACAUUUUUUCUAUCUCAAUUGGCUUGAGAGCGUAGCGUACACAUGCCAUCAAAGUAGUACUUAAAAAACAUAUGGACGAGUACUUGUAACUAUCUACAGGAUCUCAUCCUUUUUAGCACGAAUUUAUUCAUGUAUCAUUAAGAUCUUCUGCAUUGCAUGUAAUACAGGUUGGCUAUGCAGAAGAGUUGGCAAGCGUCUGGGCAAAAGUAGCAGAUGAGACGAGGGGCUACGCAAGAGGGUGAUUAGAACACAUGUAAAUCCCCCGUUUUUUUUUUUCUCCCCGCUUAUUUUUCUCUUAACGUUUCUUCCACCACACAUGCUUGUAUAUUUGUUAAUUUAGGUCCACGAGAGAACAGAAAAGAGAAAGAACCACACCGCAGUCCCUGAAUAUCCUUAGUUUGAUUUGAAUUCGUUACUUGGUUAUUUCGAGGGUGUAUAUAAUCUUCCUAAUAGCACAGUUCGUGCCUUGGUUUCUGUGUCAGAUGAGAUUGUUAGGUAUAAGCUUCCUUAAGUUAUUGGUCAGUAAUAUAAUAAGACGGCCCUCACGACGUAGAAGUUUAUUGUAUAACACUUACACCACAUUAUUUAUUUUCAACCAAUCAUAUAUUUAAAAAAAAGAGUAUAAUAAAAAUAUAUAUUUUUUAAAUAUCAUGAUAGAAUGGGUGAAUUUAAAAAAAAAAAAAUUGAUUGAUUAAGAGCAUCACAUUAAUAGUAUAAAUAUAGCAUUUUAGAAUUUUUCCGUCGCCUUAGUUUUUGAGCCCUUUGUAAUUAUCAUAAUUUAUAGCUAAACAAGGGAGCAUGAUCAUAAGUUGGGGGAAAUAGUGCACAUCUCUGCUCUCUUCAAAAAAUAAAAAUAAUAAUAACAAAAAUUCUCACGUCACUUACAGCUGGUUCUUACUGUAUCAUGUUCCGUUAACGAGGAAGCUAGCUCCUACAGAUGGAUUUUUUUUUUUUUUCUUCCCCUGGUGCGUGUGUGUACCGACGCAGGGGCGUGCACACGGGCCAAUCUUAGUGGACACGAGUUGCUUCCGGUGUCGGAUGGACAAUGAAAUCACGCUGUACACAGAAAGAUCUUGCGCACAAACAUGAACAUGAGUACAUGACCCCCACUUAAUGGGAGUACGCCUGGGCUCUCUCGAAACGUAUGAGAGCUGGCACACCCACUUCAACCACUAGUUUGUAGCUGGAUAUACAACAUAAUCGUUUCAGAUAACUUGUUUUCCUUGUUAAGAGUUGUUCAUCUUGCAUAAAAUACAAAAAAAAGUUCUCACAUACAUUCAUUCGACAUAAAAUUAUUAUAUUAUUUUUGAGUAAAAUUUUGACAACCUUAAAUUUUGACAACCUUAAAUUUUGACAACCUUAAAUUGACAACCUUAAAUUACUUUCGUACGCGUUCUAUGUGCAUACCUAUUACAAACAAUUCUCGGACCAGAAAGGAAGCAUUAUUUUCGAGCAUACCUUAAAAAAAAGCUUUUGUGCUGCUCAGCAAAAUGACGAUGCAUGGCAUGUUGCAAGCAAGCAGUCUCAUUCAAGAGAGAAGAAAAUUUAAACGCAAGGAAAAUAGCAAGAAUACAAAACCGACACAGACGCAAAUCACAUAAUGCGCAAACAAAACAUUAAUUUGCUUUUCUAUGGUUUAUCUCAUUUUCACUUUAUCAUUCUGUAGUUCAAAAAGAUUAUACUUAACUAUUCCACAAUUACUAUAACAUAUUAUUACUUUGUCACACUAUUAUUUUAAAAAUUAUUCUUAACUAUCUAGUAUUUUAAAAAAUACUUACUUUACUAUCUAUUUAAUUAUAAAGUUUUUAGUAAAACAAGAGUAAAAUUACGAAAUAGCUAAGUACAACUUUUGAAACAGAACAAAAGAAAAAGGAAAAAUGUGGGAGGGAUUGAAGUUUACCCUAUUUUAUAACACUUUGAAAGUGUUUCCACCACACUCAAAACAUAGCAAAGAUUAUAUCUUGUAUAUAGAACUAUUUCAUUUUUUGAGAAUGUCACAUUUCUCCACCCCUUUAAGGUUAAGCCACACGUUCUUGUCAAGCUUAAUGGCUCUAAUACCAAUUGUUAUGCCAUGCUUCUCAAGAUGUCACCUAUUUUAUAAUUACUCUAAUUUAGCACGCUUAAUACUCACAACCUCUUUAACCUAACCACCGUCCAAGAUACUAUAAUUAGAUUAAAAGUUUUAGUUCUAUUAUCUCCUAUAUAUAAGAGAGUAUUUCAAAUCCCGAAGGUGUCGUAAAUAUGUAUAUAUUCUGCUACUUACUAAAAUGCAUCUGAGUUUUAACUUCUUUUUUUUUUUUUUUUUUAACUCCUUAAGCAACAUAUUGUCUGGUGUGAUCUGUUAGUACCAAACAAUUACUCAAUCUGGUAAAAAAUCAUCAUCACAAUUUCUAUCUAAAAAAAAUGCUCUACAUAAUCAUUAAAAGUCAUCAUAAUAUUCUAGCAAAUAAUAGCCAUUAUUAAAUUGUUCGUACAUAAAGUUCUUCAAAUCUAAUUUGUAAUAACGGAAAAUGCUCACAAUUCUGCUGAAAAAAACCUUUCUUUUUCGCAUACAUUCAUGACGAAUAACAACGCCUGAGAUCUACAUAACCAGCUAUCAGAUCUGAAAACCCUAAUUACGAAACGUCACAUCUCGCCAAUCAGAUCUAAACGAAUUUGCAAAAAUGCAACAAAAAAAAGAACGAAAAUAGACUCUAACGAGAGACAAAUCUGAGAUCAAUUUCACACCGCAUUCAAACAAAAACUAAGGAAUUAAAAUCUAUAUAAUGAGUACUCGAACAAGGGGGUUUCGCACCAAAUCUCUUUAAACAGAUCUAAACAAUGCCGAUACAGGAUGUGAAUUCGACACGUUAGCAUCCAUCAUUCAGUACAAGGAUCUACGUAUUUAAAUCGUUCGUGUCCAUUAAAAUGAAUGAUGUGAUCGGUGCAGUAGAAUACGAACCCUAGCCCGCAAAAAGUAGUAAGAGGGGUAAUGAGGACGCCCUAAAUUUAACGAACCUCGAGGGGGAGGGAGGGCUCAGACGCGGAUGGCGGUUCCGGCGGAGGCGGCGGCGGAGGUCGCGGCGGCGGCGCCGCCGAGGAAGGAGAGGAGUCCGGCAGGGGCGGCGGCGGGAUCCUGGUCGUCGAGGAAGAGGUCCUCGGGGACGCGGAAGGCGCCGUGGGCGCAGACGAGGGCGCCGCCGAGCAUGAGGGCGUAGACGAUGAGGGACCCGACGGAGGUGAGGAAGACGACGAGGAGGGUGAGGAGGGAGAGCGCGGCUAGGGUUUCGCGGUGGGAGAAGGGGCGGCCGAGGAGGACGAGCGGCGGCGCGUCGGCGGGGCGGAAGACGUAGAGGAAGGACCAGGCGGAGGCGAGGAGGAGGAGGACGAGGAGGGAGAAGGGGUGGGCGAGGAGGGAGGAGGCGAGGGAGAGGCCGAGGAGGGCGAGGUAGUUCACGCGGAAGUAGGCCAGGUUGCGGCGGAGCCGGGACGCCGCGUCCGAGAGCGAGUCGGGCCGCGCGAAGGCCGACCGGUCCAGGAGCUCCGCCCAUGGCCGCCGGUGCGCGAGGGCGCGGCGCGCGGCCUCGCCGGCGCGGCCGAGGAAGAGGCGGAGCGCCGACAGCGACGCCGCGGACGACGCCGCGGCGCCGGACCCGGCGGCGGCGGCGGCGGUGGUGGGGAGGAUCGGAGGGGACGAAGACGCCAUGGGAGAAGGGGGUGGUGGAGCGCGCGUUUGUUUCUGACCCCAGCCCCAGAGAGAGAGCGAGAGAGAGGGGGGGAGAGAGGAGGAGACGAAAAGGGGUCUUAGGUUGGGAUGGGGACUUUUCCUCUCUUCUUAUUUACUAUUUAUUUAUUUGUUGUGGGGGAUUAGGGAUUUGUGCGUUGUUAUGUUACAUGUAUUUUGUGAAGGCCAAUCAAAGUAAUUGAUACGCAGAUUUGGGAGACUAUUUGCUUCGUCCGCUGCAUCUUCAGGCCUCUAGUGAAUCGUGGGUAAUCAAAAUUUAUUAAUCCUGUAAAUGUGAUUUACAUCAUCAAAAUAUAUAUAAAAUUUAUAAAUUUAUUACUAAAAUGCUAUAUAGAGUUAUAGACUAAAGAGUUAAUAAUUAAAAAAUUAUUAUUUUAAUUCGUAAGAAAAAUAAAUUAAAUCUUCAUAAUUUAUAAUUUUUUUUUUUUGUAUAUAAUCAUUUUAAAUGGUCUAGAGCACAUCUAGCUUCAUUUGAGAUUGCGGGGAGAUUGCGUUACGUGCGGUGAGAUACCCUGUUUGUUUUCGUAAGUAAUAUUGCAUUUCGUAUAUUGCGGUUAGUCGGUUACUACAUAUUUUCUGCGGUUCCAUUGGUAGAAGUAUAUCUCUAUAUAUUUUUCCUAAACUCCGUUAUUAUAUCUUGUUAGAUCUAUCUCAAUACCAAACUAAACCCUAAUAUACUGGGUGCAAGCACUAGUUAGUUUCUUUACAAAGGUUAGAGAACUAUGGCGGUAGGUAUUAUUAUACAGUAAUCACAUGUAGACGUAAAGGCGAUGUUUGGAGUUGUAUGGUGCUUGGAGUUGUAUGGUGCUUCGGCGCCGUAAUCGGCAAUCAAAGGUACAUCGCCACCGGCUUGGAAUCAAGUUGGCAUGCGAAGGUAUUUGUAAUUAGUCCACAUUUAUAUUUUCGAUUUUUAGCUUUGCACAUCGUACUCUUCUGAGAUUUAUUUUUAUCGGUUAAACUGCAACUUAUAUGCGCCAUAUAUAUGUUUCAUUUAUGUUAGUGUUAACUGAAACAUUUGGCGCAUGAAAUCCUGUCUAUUUCAAUAACAUCGCCUUACCACACCAUCCAUCGAUAGUCCAAGCUGGUAAGACACGUUUUUUGCAGGUAAAAGAUUACUUUCUUUUUCCCUUGCUCCCUGUUUCCAAGGACUGAUGAUAAAAAGGUAGAUGCAUGUUCUUGUCAAGCAAAGCUUGAAAAUUCAAUCAGUUCUUUUGAUUAGAACUGACGAGCCUUAAUCUCAGACUGAACAGGCGGAGAAUUUAACAUAAUAUACUAAGCAAAAAUAAAAAUGAUAAAGAUUAGCUCACUUAAACACACUAUAAUCAGAACUGGAAUAGAAAGAGACCAAACCAGGGAAAAGCACAAAUAGAUAAAGACCGAACCCGGGAAAAGCACAAAUCGAUAAAUCAUCAUUCGCAUAAAAUGACACACUCGGAAACUCCGACACUCUCAUGCUGCAGGAAACCUCCUGCAGCAACCAGAAUACAACACGAAACAUUAUGGGAGUAAACACCCACAGCAUUCGCACCAAAAAUUAGUAUUUAUUAUUCACAGGCGCUCUUUUUAAACUAUAACACAGAAACAAUCUAGGCGCAGACAACUACUCAGGUUCGUAUCAAAAUUACAGUAUUUGUUUGUGUUCUUUUUACCUGUGUGACUGUACACUUCUAACUAUGCACACACCGCUCUGUUCAACAAUAUUUUACAGACGGAGAAAAAAGAAUGAAAAAACAAAGCUCCCAUCAGUGUAAAAAGAGUUUCUGUUUCGAACAUUCAAAAAUGUAAUAAGCACCAGCCCCAGCGGCCGGUUCAAAGAACUGUUAGUAAUCUCCUAACAAAGGCAACUAAAUCUAGCCAUCUGCAAAUCCCUGAUCUUGCUCCUGCACAAGCGCCGCCUCCAACUCCCUCUCCAACUGGGCGGAGAAAUCCCAUGCAGCAGCGUCGGAUGGGAACUCCAUUGGAAAAGCAAAAGCCGAAGGAUCAAUGUACUGGAUAUUACCAUCUAUACCCUCUUGGCCGAGUUCACUGGUAGUGAGACCAAUUCCGUCUCUCAUUGGCUCCGCAUCGAUCAUCCCCAGUAUCUCAUCAAUAUUGAAACAAUCGAAGUUGAUAUUGUUGUCACCAGGCAACAGAUUCUCUAUUGGCUCCAAGAGACCGAACACAUCCUCACUUCCUUCUUCCUUCACCUUAUCUUCUGCUACCGCGACAACAGGCGAUUGACUCUUGAAUUCAUCAACUGACUCCACCUUCGGCGCUCUCAGAUUAGCUUUAUCAGGACUUGAAACCUCCGUAUUUUGUUCUUUAGCAGCUGAUUCAUGCUGGGACGUAGUUGUAGAUUCACAAGAAUCCUCUUUUGCAUUUCCUUCAAAAUUAACUCGGGCAAGGGAACCAUACAUAGCCCUAGCAGCUUCAUCGUAAGCCCGAGCUGCCAACUCAGCAGUUGGGAAAGUUCCAAGCCAGAGUCGGCUACCUCUGUUAGGUUCUCGGAUCUCUGCAACCCACUUGCCCCAUGUUCGUUGCCUUACUCCACGGUACAAACAUGAUGAAUUAUCUGGACCUCCUUUUCCUCGCAUGCAGCCUUUCUUUGAGCCCUUUGCUGGUGCUUUUUUAAUUCGUCUGUAUGCCUCUUGGCAAUUUUGCUGCUUCCACUUCUUAAUAGUUUCCAAAACAGAAUUUGGGCCUUCUCGUGUUCUUCGUGGUCUUUUUUUCCUGAGUAGUAGCACAAGGAAGAUUCAAAACAUCAGCAAAAACACUUGCACCGAGUCCAAAUUAGAAUGUAACCUCUAUAGGUAAUGCAAUUCAAAAGCACAGGUUCACUAUGUUCUGUGCACAAUACAAGUGCAUUUGGCAGAUAAACAUAAUUUUCUUAUUGAUAAACCUGAAGUAAAUUGUAGUUCUCCAGAAUUCCAUACCAGUUCACCGUUUCCCAAACCAUACUCUUGAGAUUGGAGGUGAACAGCUAACCUCUCGUAUCACAUUGACUCUAGUCUCAGAAGAUUAAACUCGCUAGUAGUAGUCUAAAUACAAUCUCAAUCAGGUUCUACUGGUGAGUGUUCCCAUUCUAAUGCCUCAUUCCCUAUCAACUAUUAUAUCUUUGAUCAGCCAACUUGGUUAACCCCUCACAAAAAACACAAGUGCAUAAGGAACCAAAGAGUUGUGUACUUGCUGCCAAUUGAAAGAUCUCUUCUUUUUUUGAUUUUUUGUUUUUUUGUUUUCCUUCUCCUUUGUUUUUUGAAUUUGUCCAGACACUAGAUUAGAGUUUUUAAUUACUAUACAAAAUGUGUGAACUAGGGAAUUCACACUAAUGACCAGGGUUAGGGUGUUUACGCAUAAAUAAGUGAAGUCAUUAGCAUUCAUACCUACUGACCCGAUGCGACCAACAACUCCCAUCCUGACUGCUGUCGAUGUUCUAGUAAAACAUAUAACACAAUCAGCCAAGCAUGUGAUCAAUCUCGGAAAAGAAAAUUAUAAAUAUUGAACUCCAAAUACCAAAGAAACAGAGACGCCAGAAGAAAAACAAAAAUAAAACAAAAAACAAAAAACAAAAACACCACAGAAACUAAAAUAGCAUGAAUACUCCAAUCUAGAUCGAAGCCAAACACAAUUUGGUAUUCACCAUCUAUUAGAUCGAAGCCAAACACAAUUUGGUAUUCACCAUCUACACAAUUGGUCCCCGUACACUCAAAAUAGUCCAAACUAAUUAUAUUAAUAUCCCUCAACCAUCUCUCCAGAAUAUGGUUAAAUCAAAAACGUCACAAAAAACAAAUAACAAACCCCAAACAAACCCAAACUCAAAAAGUUGUCUGAGUUCAGAAUAAAAACCGAAAUGUAAUCGGAUAAAAAAUGCUUCUUGAAAUUCUAACUCAGAAAUACCAACAUUAGAAAAGACCACUUACAACCCAAAAUAUCGUCCAGUUGCAUGCAUUCCGAAGUGAAAAAAUUAAGAAUAGCAAACCAGUACCCAAAUAAAAAUUACUGCGAGCAAAACACAAAAUAUCUUAAACAAAUAGGACCAAAAGAAUUUUAAGUCAAUUAACCAUGACACCACAAGGCAAAAAGAUACAGACAACAGCCAGAAUGUUACUCUAUGACUAAUCAACAAUACCACAUCACUAACUAGCAUCUUUCUUUCCUCACAUACACACCCUAUUUGGCUAGAGACAAACUACUAACCUUUCGUAGAUACCUCAAUUUGCUUCUCUCUAAUUCAUUUGUUGGAAAUUCAUUAGUUCUAUAAUGAUUUCUCCUAAUUCAGGGUUUUUUUUUUUUAACAUGUCAGCAAACCAGGUGCUUUGUGUUUGACUUACCUUGACUGUAUUUUCCACAUGCAAGAAACCUUGUUUACUUUCUUGUCCAUCCAAAUAAACCCGUGAUCUAUAACAGAACGCAAAACAGGAAAGUAAACAAUGAACUGAAUUGACCCAUAUUUCAUUUCAAGCAACCUACUCCAAUCAAAAUACAAUUCACUCGAUUUCAUUGAACUACAAAUUGUAACAACUCCAUCUUAAUUAAUAUAGUACCUAAAAAAGUAACAAUAAUGGGAAAUCAAUUGGUUUAAUACCAAACAAAUUAAAUAGUCAUGGCACGUGAAUAACAAACUAGUAUAUUUCAUUUCAAAGAACUGAUUUCCAUUAGCAGAUUGAUUCAAUUUAGACUAUAAUCAUGGCAAAUCAUCAGCUAGCUAGUAACUUCUACAAUCUACAUAAACGCUCCUACAAACGCUUUGUUUACAAAUUACGACACGGAUUAUCAAACUCCGCGCACUUUCGUUAGAAAAAUAGCCAACACGAAAACGAAAUUGGACACAGGAAGCCGAAACCCUAAUCUAAAAUCGGCACCACAAACUCCACUCACCUUCGUUGGAAAAAAAAGCCAAAACAAGUACGAAAUUGGACGCAGGAAAACGAAAACCUAAUCUAAAAUCGGCACUCGUCAUCUCCCCAAACAAGAUCACAAAAUUAAAAAUAAAAUCAAAUUAUACAGGAUUUUCCCUUACCUUUCCUGCUCGUACAUCUCGAAUCCUCUUCUUUGAUCGGCUUCCACCAUUUGAUCUCUCUCUCUCCGAGCUCCCUUCGAUCUCUUUUCUUUCGAUACCUCUUCGGUCUCUAGGGUUUUCUCUUUCUAGGGUUUUCUCCUCUUUUCCUUUUUUUUUUUCUGACUCUUUAUCGCUUUCGAUCGAUUCUUAUAGCGCGGCUCUCUUUUUCUUGGGUACCAAGGGACGCACAAAUCCUCGGGUGCGGGUAUUUAUAGAAUUAUAGGAGGGAGUACUCGCGAUGUUUCUAUAAUUAGGAAAGCGGGGUUGGGGGUGACGUGGGCCGUGUCGUGCCGCUAAAUGCCCGUCGCUUUCGACACGUGUGACCAGAAGCUUCCGGAAGGGGGCAGCGAGCUGCUGCGUGCGUGAUUGCGUCGCGCUUCCUUAGCCGCGAAGGCGUUCCCCGCCGCGGCUCAGAUCUCCGCCACGUCACCCCCGCGUGCCCCAUCGCGCGCGUAACGUGGACUUUAAGAUUCGCGGCAGCUGUUGAUUGCGCCGCGGGAAUCGUAAAGCACAGGGGUCGUGGUGUACAGUUUGGAUAUACUUUCAGAUAUUUCCGGAUAAUGACGAUGAUUAGUUGGCCACGGUUGGCAUUUUUUUGUCAAUAAAAAAAUAAUUGCUACAAGACUUAUUAUUGUCUGUAUACAAUGCACCCUGGUUGAUAAAAUCAGAAUUUUCAGAACAUAAAAAACUCAAAAUUCAAAUAAAAAAAAAAAAGAAGUAGAGGUAGCUUCAAAAUUGAUGAUAAACACAUUAAAAGAGCCUAUCUACUCCACCGAAAGUAAACUUCAAAUUAAAGUAUACACUUGAAUAAAGUAAAAUUCAGUUAAAAAUUAUUUUUGUACUGCAUAUUUUAUUUGUAUAAUUAUGAAACUAAAUUUUUUUAAUUUUACUAUUUAUUUAUUUGACGAAAAGUAAAUAAAUUAGAAAUUUUACACGUCAAAAUCAAUUAUAUUAUUUAAAAAUUUUAAAUUUUGACCGGGACAACAAAUCAAAAAAAAAUUGCGGUCCAAAACAACUAUACUUUUCUGCGCUUUCGGCAAAGCAAACACACUUCAAAAACAUUGUAUCUGUCACCAUCAGAGGGGAAAUAAAGAAAAGAACAAAGAUAGCAUCAGUUUACAUCGGCAAACUUUUUACAGAGCAAGUUGAUCCACCUCAAUCAAUGUGCUGAUAAAUUCCAUUUCCACUGCAGGUUUUUCUGUACAGCUACAAUGAAUUGAAUAGGAGUUCAUUCCAGACGUCCGGCACGCCGGGCAGGCACCAGUGUAUGCAGUCGGCGUAGCUGGCCGGAUUUGCGAGCUGUCGCGGGGUCAGCGCCUCCCAGAACUUCCGGUAGAUCGAGGGGUGCCCGUCCUUUCGAUACUCCGAUAGUUGGGUAAUGUUGAGAACCGUGAUCUUUCUGCCCAGUUUAGCCAUUAUCGCCGCCACCGCAUGCAUGGUUUCUACGUCAGAUCCACUCCCCCAGUAGCCCUCGUCGUCGAUCGGCGCUCUCUCGUCGUAGCAGUUUCCGUCGCUGCCCGGAUUCCAUUCCCUGCUCCUGGAAAGUUGGAAAGCAGUGAAACUCGAUCAGAUCAGAAGAAGCAAUCAUAGUUUCAGUGCCCAAAUUUCCACGCCUUUGUAAUCAUCAUUUUUUUUACUGUUCCAAUAGUGUUUUAAAAGUUACGCAAAAUAUAGUACAAACCAGAGGUGCGUGGGCGACAUUGUAACAAAGAAAACCUGCUGCUUCUGGGGAUCUACACUUGUUGAGACCCACCCUGCCCAGGUCUCCAGGGCCAACUUCAUUGCGUCUAUUCCGUCGGCUUCUUCGCAAAUGUCCUCUUCACUACUGCUCCAUCUGUUAUUUUUGUUUUUUUUUGUUUUUUUUCCAAAACAAUAGUUACUAGUUUAACAAUUGAACCUUUUAAUCGAUAGAAUAUAAACUGUUUGGUACUGCACUUACACAAGCUUUAUCUUAUUUCCGCUCCGCCACCACAAGUAUGAGUUGAAGAUGAGUAUAUCGGCAUUCGCCCAUUCAGCUGCGUGCUUAAGCAGUGAAUCCGGUCGGAUUUUCCUCUCAUCUAGUCUGUGGUUUAUCGGGUCAUCGGAAUUUGAUUCUACAAUCAGUGGUGCCCAGUAAAACUCAAUAGAAGCAUUAUACUCCUGUAUAGAAAAACAAGCAAUAUAAACCAUGAAUCCUGCAGAUCCUGCAGAUGCAUAGUACAUCAGAAUCAGGGAGAAAUUGGACUACUAUUAUUCUUUCGAAUUUCAAGAUACUUUAAAAUGCAAAUUCGACCAAUUUCAGAUCACCUCGGCCAUAAAUUUCGUUAAACCGGCGUUAGGCGUCAUCGACUUCUUGCCAGCAGGAAUCGCAGAUUGUACGAGGCAGACCAUGGAAAUCCACUGGCCUCGGUUUAGCGAAUCUCCCGCAAACAUAAGCCGCUUCCCUCUUAGCUUCUCCAGCAUCUCAGUUGCAUUCCAUCUCCGAAAGAGAGUAGCAGAAAAAUUAUAACAUCAAGUGUCAGAAACAUUUCCUUAUCUUAUCCACCGAAACUCGAAAAUCAAAAUUCGAUCUUGUCCGGAAAAAUUAACGAUCAACACGGUAGCUCAGCGAAUUACGAAAUUACAGUUGAGAAAUCCACCAAUUUCUCGCUCAAGUCCAUACAACUCUUUCAUUCAUUUCGUAGUUCUUUUUUUCUUUUCUUUCCUUCAAAUUUGAGCUGCAACAAGCUUCUUCUUUUCGACUCGAACUAGAGUUGCGAAAAGUUACAUAAUUUGAUUUGAUGAGCAUAUAAGUAAAAAUUUCCGAAUGAACAUAACUUCGUAAAGAAAAAGAAGUACUUGAAAUUAUAUUAUGAUACCUCUUUAACUCGCAACUGUCAGGCUGCCAUCGCCAGCUCUGGUAAUCCCUGUCGGGCCGGCCGUGCUUUCUGCACGCCAACUGAUCCGACAUGUAAGGGCAAUCGAGCUCCUCAUACAGCGGAUAUGAACGGUUAUCGUAGACCCAUCUCCCCGAGAACAAGUUGCAACCGUCGGAUUUGCUCUCGUGCUGCCGACCGUCUUCCGCUGCAACUGCCGCCCUUCUUUUGUAGCUCUGGAUGGUAGUGCAGGCCUUCGACCAGUCCGAAGCACCUAAGAUUCAAAUUUAAUUUACUUCAACACUCAUGUUUACUGUUUAGUUGGUUUUACACACACGAAAGGAAAAAAAAAAAAAAUGUACAAACUUUACCACAUGUAUUUCAUUGUCCACCUACUCUGCUGGAUUAUUAACAACAAUUUUGAAAGGAGCAACAUCAGAGUAUCGAAUCCGAAAUAAUAAGCUCAGGAACAAAUUUCAAUAGCCAUUUCCUUAUUUUAGCUACAAAUUUCCAACAUUAUUCAAAAAUCACAUGCACCUGAACAAACACUACAGGGCCAAAGUGUCAAUGCGGCGUCCGGGACCAUCACUAGAUACAAACAUUUUAAUAUCUUACUACUUGUGCGAUACGAAACUAUCGUCGUACGUACUAUUAAUUUUUUUAACGAACAAAAUGAGAACAGUAAAAACCCAAAAUCGCAUUUCACUGCUACAUUCAACGAUCGAUCACUUAAAAUGACCGAGUUACACUACGUCCCCGCGAAUUUCAGGGGAUGAGAACGCACCUAAGACUCGAUUCGCGACUCGAGGAGUCGAAGCGUUGGAGGUGAGAUAAGUAGGGAGAGAAGAAGGGUUGGGAUUUGAAUUUGAAUUUGAAUGCGGGUCGUCAUCUCCUCGGCUUCUCGUGAUUCCGCCAUUGCUGAGGAUAGUAAUUUUGAAGAGCACGAAGAAGCAGAGGAAGAGGACGAAGAGGAGGGAGAGUUGGUUCUUCUUCUUCCUGCCCCACUUCUGCAUCUUCUCCUCGGAGAGACACAGGGAGAGAGAUUUCGGCAUUAAUGGGAAGCUUCUUGGCUCUUGAUUGCAGCAGAAGCGGAGAGAGACGCGAGGUGAGGGGCCCUUCCGUGUCCAGCCCCAGUACCGCAUGUCUUUUGAAAAACCGUUUCUACGUGUAUGGACCUAUUUAGACCCUGUAUGCGUGACAUAAAUAAUUUUUAAAUAUACAACAUAAUAUGUUAUGUUUUAUGCAUAUCUAUAUCUAUAUCUAUAUUAUUUCAUUAUAAUAUAAAAUAAAUAGUGUUUCCAACUCCAAUGAAGUUGGAAUCCUUAAAUCAUUUAGCUGCAGUGAUUAAUUAUUUUCCGGUAUUUUGAGGCACCACCUACUGACCUGUAACUUAGGAAAAUUACUGUUGAGGGCGUUUCGAUAGUCCAUUUGGAACAAUUAUUGCUCCAGCACGAACAUUAAAGCGAAGAAAAUAUCUCGUGCUUUGUCAGCGUCUUAUAAUGAAGUUUUGCAAUUAUGGGAGUAAAUUGCACUGCUAUUCCUAAACUUUUGGACAAUUGAGUUCCACUGAUCCUCAAAAUUUUUAGAUUUCAUAUUAAAAUAUUUACAAAUUUAAAAUCAUUUUCUUUUAGCUCUUAUUCUUAUUUAUUGCUAGGAAAAAAAAAAAAUAUUUGCACACCCUAAGAUGAAUAGAUGGAUGGAUUUGUUUCUCUUUAUAAUUAGAAAUAAUAAUAAUAAAAAAAGAAGUAAAUUCCUCUUUGCUGUUGUAAGGGAAAGUGCCAGAGGAAGCAAGAUGCCAAAAUGGAAUGUUUGGGGUGUCAUUUGGAGUGUUUUACAUCAGGUAUCUAUGAUUUCUAUUUUAGGGUCUCUUUGGCAACUUUGGAAUUUAAUUCUUAAUAUUUUUUUAUGAUGAAAAUAGUACUUGCUCAAAACAGCAUCAUUUUAUUUAUAUUAAAAAGAAGAAGUUUGUAUUUAAGAUAUAUGUGUGAAUUAUUUUGAAUUAUUAACCUUGGAUUUUAUAAAAAAGACACUCUAUUUUGUAGAGAGAGAGUUGGAAAGAAUAGGAGAUAAAUGGCAAAAAUAUUUUAUGCUCACUUUACACAAAAAAAUAUGUAUCUACUAAGCCAUUCAAACAGUUCAUCUGGAAAAUAAAUAAAUAAAUAUAUAAAUAAAUAUGUACAACACUAAUCAAAGUAUUUUGUUUUUAACAAAAACCCACUUCUGUAAAAUUCUCAAACAGGAUCUUAGCUUUGUAAUAAAUUAGUAAAAAAGGAGCUUCCAUUUUUUUUUCCUCUCUUUCUUCGUUUUAGUUCAUUGAACUUUGGAGGUGAUAUAGUUUAUUCCUUCAAUAAUUAUCAAUUAAUAACGUAUACAACAAGAUUAUAAAUUUCCACUUACAGUUUCCAAAAGUUGAUUUCCUAUGCACAUAUUGUUGUAAUUAAAAAAAAAUAACACUUCAUUAAUGGAUUGAAUUGGUUCUAUCAACUUUAAGUUGAAGAUAGUUUCCUAAGUUGAUGACAUCUGAGGUUUACACUGAUAAGUGCAAUUGCAAUUUUAUUGGAAGAGUAAAACCUCAUUUGUUCCUGUCAUAAGCUUUUUCUUUAAAUUCUGUCGUAACCGUUCUCUCCGUAAUAUAACAGUUUUUCCUCGAGGAAUUUAUCUAUAUCUAUAUCUAUACAUUAAUUUCCAUGACUAAAUCCUACAUGCACCCAUCCCUUUAAUUUGAGGAGAAGUGGGGUUUAUUUUUUUUUUUUUUUUUUUUUUUUUUUUACUUUUUCUCAUUUUCUUUAUAUUUACUAAGGCCUAAAAUUUUUUUUUUAACCCUAUUUCUUUACCUUUUGGUCUUCCACCCUCUUUCUUAAAUUUAUAAAUUUGAAUCUUUGUUGUGUUUUAUAUUCGGAGUCAAUUAAUUAAUAAAAGUGAUAUAUAUAUAUAUAUAUAUAUAUAUAUAUAUAUAUAUAUAUAAUAUAAAUUAUCUUACGUGUUAUUGUGAGCCUUUCUUUAGUCAUAUUAACUGUAAUAUGAUAUUUUUUUUUAUUAUUGUGUUAUAAAAAUAAUUUUAAUCAUCCAUUUGCAUGAUAUGCGACAUCUUUUGAACAAGAUUGAAUAAUUUUGUUGGAACGAUUGAUUCUUUUUCAUUAUAGUUUUUUUGUUAAAAAAAGUGUUUGUUUAUAAUAUAGACUAUAUUUAUUAUAUUUUUAUACUAAACUGAUAUUUUAUUUUUUACAAAUUUUUAUUUUAACAGUAUCUACCCACCGUAACACGCGGGUCACUACACUAGUCGUUGCAUGAUUAGCAUAGUCUUAGAUACAUUAUUACUUAGGCUCCGUCACAACGCAUAAGCGUCUUAUUUAGUAUUUCAUUUUAAUUUAAUUAAAAAAUUUGUUAUGAGGUAGAUUAAGUAGUGCAAUCAAAUCAUAGUCAUUUUUUAAAAAUUAAAGGGGUUUUAGGCUUUCAUAGAAAAAAUGUUUUAUGCUUUGUAGUGUUUAGUUUAUAGAAAAAAAUAAUAGUUUUUCAUCGGUAUUUCUUUGAUUGAAAGGAAAAAAAAUAUAUUUGUUUAGUUCUGUAAAAAAAUCGUGAAUAAAAAUAAAUUUACGCAACGCGAUUUUCAUUUUCUGGCGAAAUUGAGAGAAAAAAAUACUUUAAUUUUCUCAAAUCGGUAAAAAUAUUUUUUUGAUUUUUUUUUUUUUUUUUACAGUUAAACAAACACACGAGAAAAAUAAGUUUCCAACUAAACACACUCCAAGGUAAAUCAUAUUGUAGGUGAAACAUGCGAUCCAAGCCCUGUUAUGAGCCUAUGUUUAAGGCCCGUAGACCGGGUCCAACCCGACAGACAAAUUUAAACGGGUCGGGCCAGUUUUGUUCGGGCGUAAACAUGUCAUUUGGUCCUGACCCGUUAACAUAGUGGGCCCAAAGCGUGAUUGGUUUUCGAUCCAUUGGGCUGAGCCAGAUCAACAGAGAUGCCCCAAAAUAGUAUUGGGCCAUGAUGAUCCAACUUAUAGGACUAUAACGAUUUAUGCGCAACGAGCACAUAAUUUUCUUUUAAUUACGCAUUAACGGUGAUUCAAACUUCCGAUCUAUUAUAUCAGCAAUAAGCAACAACAAAAAUUACCUGUUUCAUUUCUCAAGAUUCCAACACUAUGAUUGAGAUACAGGUCCCGAAGACUACAUUAUUUUAGGGAAUAUUACGUAUCAUACAAAGGCCAACUAAUCUACGAAAAUACAAAUAGUGGGUUCUGGGGCCAUCUAUUUUGAUGUCAUAUUAAUAAUUAUUUCAUCUUAAAAAGAUAUAAACCGUCAAUGAAUAAUAUUUUAAUAUAUUAUACUCAGCAUGCACGACCGUGGAUUUAAAAACUCGGGCCCCAUACGGAAGAAGCCACCAAAUUUCGACUUGUUCAGAUCAGAUCAGGCUCGAAUCUCACCUCGACUCGGGAAGGUACAAGAUUGGGCCCGAGCCAAAUUGGAUUCAAAUUCCAAAUAAAUUAAAGUUUGUGAAUUUGCCACCCUGGAGAUACAUGCACCAAAUUUGGUGGGAUUUAAUUAUUCUCAUUUACUUUAAUAAUAUAUAUAUAUAUAGAGCAAGGCUGCUGUGCUUUCAGGAGCACGGAGGCCUCUAUGCUCCUGAGCCGUUUUCGAUGAUGGAGUUUCCGAAUCGACGAUCGGCUCCGUUAAACUUGAUCUAGCGUAUUUGAAGUUUCUAGAAAAUAAUUUUUGCGAUUUUUCGAUAUCAUUUACCUAGCAAUCGAAAUGAUUCAAAAUCAAUAAUUUUUAACGGCUGAAAAUAAAAAUUCAAUAAAAAGUGGUGAUAUAGCAUUAAAAUUUUCGAUCAGAAAUAUUGAUUUUGUUGUAGAUAGUAUAAAAAAUUUUGUUUCAAAAUUUCAUCUGAUUUGAAUACUUCUACACUGUUAAACUUGAAAACGACAGAUAUCAACCAUUAAAAAUUAUAAAUUUUGAAUCCUUUCGAUCACUAGGUAAAUGAUAUAAAAAAAUCGCAAAAAUUAUUUUCUAGAAACUUCAAAUGCGCUAGAUCAAGUCUAACGGAGCCGAUCGUCGAUUCAAAAAUUCCAAUCAAUAAAAACGGUCAGGAGCACGGAGGCCUCCGUGCUCCUGAGAGCACAGCAGCCACGCUGCUCUAUAUAUAUUAUAUAAUAUAAAGUUGAGCUAGAAUACUCUCGAUAGUAAACGGGACGUUUUACUAUCGAGUUGUUUUCGAUGAUAGAGCUUCCAAAUUGCGAUCGGCUUCGUUGAACAUGAUCUAUACCACUUGAAGUGUUUCGAAAUCAAAUUUUAAAUCUUUUCGGCAUCAUUACCUAAUGAUCAAGGUUAAAAUUUGUAAUUUUAAUGGUGGAUAAGAAAUGUUUUCUUGUUUAACGGUGUAAAGAUAUCCAAAUAAAUUGAAUUUUUGUUAGAAAAUUCUUUAAACUAUUUAAAACAAGAUCUAUACUCUUGAUCUUGAUUACAAGACUCCUAUCAUCAUUUUUUAAAGAAUAUUCAUUUUCAGCCAUUCAUUUUUUGUUCACUAGAUGGAUAAAAGAACAAUAUCGAAAGUGCGUGAAAUUUGAUUUUUAGGUAGUUUAAAUGGUUUAGAUCAUAUUUAACGGAGCCGAUCGUCAAUUUGGAAGCUCUAUCAUCGAAAACAACUCGAUAGUAAAACGCCUUGUUUACUAUCAAGAGUAUUCUAGCUCAACUCUAUAUAUAUAUAUAUAUAUAUAUAUAUAUAAUUGAACCUUAGCAUAUAUAUUCCCUAUAGGGAAAGAGUCAUAUAUUUAUCAUGUCAAAUUGGUGCUUACUGCUUUGUCAAAUUGGGCCCAGCCACUGAGAUGAUGUUUCUUCAUAAAUUAAUCACAUGGGCAGAUCUAGCCUUCAGUUUCAGUUUUGAUUCACAUUGAAAUAAAACUUCAGUAGGAGAGUUCUCGAUCCCUAUUUCAUAUUAAUUUUACUUUCGUCUAAAAGUGUAUUGAUGUUUUCUAAUACUAAAAUAAAUAAAAGAACUCUAGAAUAGAGAAGAUCAAGGAUUCUAAACGAAACAUUGAUGUUCAAAUUGGGUCCGUUUUAUUAUUUAGGAUUAUCCAAUGGUGGAAAUUUUGCAAAAUCAUUUAGGGGGGUGGGACUUUUUAGCACAAUAAUAAUUAUUCGGUAUUAUAAACACAGAAAAGAAAGAUUACUCUCUAUUAACCUGUAAAAUAAAAAAAAAAAGGUUGAUAUAUUUAUUAUCAGAAUAAAAAUAUUACUGCAUAUGUUCAAAUUUAUACAAUAAACGGUAGCCAUGUGUAAUCAAUUGCGCCCACAUAAAGAAUGUACAAUUACUGCAAUAAAUUUAGUUUUAAUAUAAGCAACCUUUAAUUUUAAUAAGCAACCAAAAUAUAAAUAUUAAAAGAGAUCUUUAUAUAUAAAAAUGCAGUAGCAUUUCAUCUGUAUAUAUUUGUAGUUAAAUUUGAACUCAAAUAAAUGUUAGUUUAUUAGAUUGGGCACUCAUCCGAAAUCAUCAAUUUCAGAGGAAAAGAGCUUGUUUUAAACUUAAAAAAUCACUAACAUAGACAAUUUUUAUUAUUGAAGAAAUAUAUUUUUUUUCAAAAGGAUAUAAAUACAUUUUCCCGUAAAAUACUGUUCGCAUAUCUAAAAAAAUAAAAAAUUUCAAACUAUAAAAAGAUAUUACACACUUUUUUAUUCUUCUUUAAAUAUCAAAUUACUAGAAACCGAGUGAUCAAGUGAUCAGGUGAGUAUAAUUUAAAAAAAAACAGUGUACACAAGCAUAAAAAAAUAAAUAAAUAAAUAAUAUUUAAUAGUGACCUAUUUGUAAUAAAAAAAAUAUAUUAUUACAUCAUCAGUAUUACGAAGGACACAAGAGAAGGGAUCCCAUCAAGGUUGGGUUGUUGACGGAGAAAUUAGCGGCGAAGUCCCUGACUUUCCUCACACUUGUCGUUUACUCCCUCUUUCGCCCCGCUGUCUUAAUAAACCCAAUGUUUAUCUAAUCCACCGGCUUCCCAAGUGGGCCACUUGCUAAUUACCUUUUUUUGGGAACGAAAAUUACACAAAACACCCUUGCAUUACUUGGAAUUUUGCACAAACACCAUGUACAUUUUGGGGGAGAGAAUUUUGGCUAUAGUGGGUACAAAUGAACCACACUAGCAUAUUUGAAAAAUAUUUUACUCCGCACUUAAUAUUUUCUAAUCAUUACUAAAUUAUCUAUUUAACCACUUUGGUUUUGUGUUUUGGAGUUUUAUUUUCUUUGUUCUCCUAAUACUUGAAGUGGAUUGUGGUUAGGGAUGCAAACUAUGUAGACCCAGCGGCGGGAGGGGUCCUCCAACUCCCACUUCAUUAUCUGUCGGGAUCGGGACGGAUUCGGAGUGAUUUAAUUUCCAUUUUAUUUUUGACGCCCAUUUCUCCACCGGAGGUGAAUAAAAGCGGGAGCGAGUUUUUGGCGGAUCGGGACGGAUCGAAGGAAAUAAGAGAUCUCCCACCUCCUGCUCCAUUAACUUGAUAGAUCGAGACUGAUUCGGGACUGACUAUAUUUUUUUAUAUUUUUUGUUCCCGCUUAUCACUCCAUUCGAGAUGGAUCAAAACGAAAGUUCUACCAAUCCGGAACAAUUUGCAUCCCUAGUUGUUAUAUGGAUUUAUCCAAAACUUCUAAUAUAACCAAGUCCUAUUUCCUAUUUUAGUGAAUAUUUAUAAAAAUUUCACAAAUAAAUAACUAAAAUUGGAUGAUUAAAUUUCAAUUAUUUUCAUGUUUUGCUUUAUAUUGCAACUUUGUAGCCACUUUCUAAGGAUGCCAGAGAGAGAGAGAGAGAGAGAGAGAGAGAGAGAUGCUGUAUUAGCUUUUUGUCUAAAACAGUGUAUGAAUGUCUCUGAUAUUUACACUGAAAAUGAGAUGCGAAGCUGCAAUAUUCCCACUCAAGUCCAAGCAGCUAAUUGGAAGCUAUUACUUCAAGUUUCUAACAUCAAUCAAUUUCAAAUUGAUUAGCAGGUGUAAACUGUCAAAGGAUUUUGCAACUAUAUAAUGUUUCUCUAUUAAUUUUAUUCCACCUGACCGACCGUCCCUAGAACAAGUGGCAAAGGAUUUGGUGGUUGGUAUCCAAGACACAAGUUCGAAUCCUAAUUGAUUCACAUUUUCAGCUAAAUUUAUUUCUAAUUGAAAUAAAUGAAACGGGUAGCAUGCUACCUUUUUCUCUUAAAAAAAAUUUUAUUCCACCUGUGGGAAAAUAAAAAUAAAAAGCAUUCUUUAUAACUAGAUUUUCACCCGUGCGAUACACGGCUAAUAUAAUAAUAUAGAAUAAUAAUAAAAAUUAUUAUGUGAUGACAAUAAAAAGAUUUUCUAAAUAAUUUUAUAUUUUUUAACAAAUAAAAAAAUAUACUAUCAAUCUUAAUUAUAGUAUAUAUUAAAGUACACAAGCGAGAGAAAAAAAAAAUUGGACCAAAAUAAAUAUUCAACUAAAAUACAAAAUUCAAUCCUACUCUAUUAUCUAUGAAUUGGUGUGCAAAAUAAUUUACAUUUACAUAUUGAUGUGCGAAAUAAAAUGAUAACUAAAAUUGAUAUGAAAAAUUACAAAUGACAUGAAUAUUUAAGCAUAUAAUGAGAUCAACUAAACUUUCAUAUUUGACACACAUUAGAGUAAGCACACAUAUAUUAUGUUUCUACUGUCACUUUUAAUAUUCAAAAAUAUAUAGAUGUUGAUUUUCAAAAAAAUAUAAAGAAAAAAAUUUUGUUGCAUGAAGAUGAAAAGUUACAGGAGUGACAGUAGGGAAAAAAAUUACGAAAUAAAAAUUACAGAAGUAAUAGGAAAAUAAUAUGUUCUAUUUUAAAGCAUCAAUAUUUAAGAGCGAAGAAAAUUACAGGAGCGAUGUGAGUUUAAAAUUUUUUCCUCUUUCAAAAAAUAUCUCUAUCCAUUUUUACUAAUAUUUUUAUGUCCAGAAAUUUUUAACCAAUCAUUUCAAAUAAUUAACUAAAUAGUAAUUUAUUUCCAAAUAAAGAUAAAUAUUUUUUUUCUCAUGCAUAAUAUCUGCACCGGCCAAUUUUUUUGCCACAUAAUAUCCGUGAAUUUUGAAAAUAUCUCAACAUAAUUACCAAAUAUCCAAAUUUGAGUUUGACACGUGGCAAGCAUAUAGAAAGCCACGUGUCAGCUUCUCACAUAGGGUUCAUUAAGGGUUCUACUUUUAUAUAUAGUAAUAGAUGCUCACAUCAUGUAAAAUAAGCCAUUAAGUGUAUCAAACAUAUUUAUUGAUACUUUCCAAUGUUGAACUGGUUUUAAGUUGUUACUUCUUCUCAUUAAAUUCAUGCAUCAUUAUAUGAUUGUGAUGCAUGCUAUUGUAAGAUAUAAAUGUUACUAGCAACAAUAGAAAUGUUAUUUUUAUUGUUACAGCAUAAGGGCAAAGAUUACCUAAUUUCUAGGGAACAUUUCAUCAUUACCCUUCCAAAUAAGUCUAAAAUCAUGAAUGCCCCUAUAAGAAUUGAAAUGUCAUAAAUGACAUUUUAAAAGAGAGAAACUUAAAAAAAUAACCUUUACACUAAUUUAUUAUCAAUUUUGAAUAAACAACAAACAAAAUUCCAACUUUGUCCCUAUUGUUGUUACCAUCUUAAAAUAUUCAAUUGACUAUAAAAUCAUUUAUAAUUUUAUAAACACUAUUUUACAUUUAUAAAUAACCUACAUUUAGAGAUAAGUUUUUGUCAAUUAAAAAAAAAAUAAUCCUGACAAGUUAAGCUAAGAAAAAUUUUUUUUUGAAAAAAAGCAAAAAAAAAUUGUUUAAAGUAUCAAUUGACUCAUUAAAAUAAGGUUAAACAGUUUAUUCAAAAUAUAACUUAAAUAUAUAUGCAUGAUGUGAACUAAGUUAUUUGAACUAGCACAAAUUUCUAUGCUUUGGCAUAUCAAAUUUUAAAAUAAAUGAUGUAAAGUAUCUUAUUUUAGUAUCUUAUUUUCAGUUCUUAUUUUACAAUUUACACGGUAGUAAAGUGAUAUAUUUUACUCUUUAUUUUAAUAUAUUAAAAUAAAUAUACCAUGCUAAAAUACUUUCGUAAAAAAAUUUAGAAGUUAAGGGCAAAAUAGACAUUUCGACCAUAUUUAUGAUAAUCUAAAUAUUUUAUCAUUCUAUAAAGACAUGAAGAGUAAGGGUAAGGGUAUAUUUGAAGGGCAGUUGUGAUAUAAUCAAAUUUUUAGGGACAUUUAUGAUAUUUUUGACAAAUGAAAUUGACCCUAAUUUCUAAGUUGAAUGGACAAUGUAUAUUUUUUUUUACAUAUAAAGUUAUAAAAAAGGCCAAUUUGCAUAAAAAAUCCACUUAUUUUGGGCUUUUGCAAAACCGGGCCACCUUUUUCAUAUUUACAGAUUCGAUCCGCUUUUUCAGCAAACUGACAAAAAUACCUUUAUUACUUUUUCUUUUUCCUCUUUCUUUCUCUUCUUCGUUUCUUUCGUUCUUUUUUUUUUUCUCGCCGGCAGAGCGGAGGCAGAAACGGUCCGUCUCGCCUCUCACCCUCAUGGUCUCGCCCUCGCCCUUGCCCUCGUCCAUGCACCUCCCACCUUCCUCACCUCCGACCCGGCCAAGGCCGUGCUGCGACUUUUUCUUUUGCUUUUUUCUUUUCUUUUCUUCUCCGACUCUUCUCCGCCGUCUCCGAUGACGACGCCUCUCGCCGUUCCCCGCCCUUCUCAUCUCUCCCUUUUCCUUAUUUUCUGCCGCCUCCGACGACGAUUUAUCUUCGCCGGCGCCGACGUCGACACCGUAGAGGUCACUGCGGCGCUACAGCCUCGGAGCGGGGGGUCCUUAGCGGCGUCGUCACCGGCGCCGUAGCUGUUGGCAGAGAAGGUGACAAAAAAAAUUAUAGAAAAAAUAGAAAAAAAAUAAAGAUAAAAAAUUAUAUAAAAAGAAGGAUGAAAAUAAAAUUGCAUCGUUAAUUACAAAAAAAAUUAUAAGUUGCACUAUUUAAGAUGUAAAUUGCUGCUUUAAGAUAAAAAUUAUACUCUUUGAACGAAAUUUAUAUAAUUUUAUCGAAACUGCAUCUUUGUAGUAUAUUUAUAUCUGUUUCUCUUUGUUGCAUGUUUUCUAUUAGUUGACUAUUUCUCCUUUAUUUACACAGAAUGGUUGCAACAAGGGAUAUACAGUGUAAAAGAGAGAACGAGUUAAUAUUAUCUUAAAGGGUUGAAGUUUUCUCUUAUUGUAUGUUUCUUCUUUGUGCAUAUUUCUUUAUUGUAUACAAGAGAAAUGGAACAAGAGGACGAAUAGUGCAACAGAGUAGAAACAUAGAUAUAUCUCUUGAAAAUAGUGCAGUUUUCUUUUGUUGUCUAUUUUUCUCUUGUUACAAGAAAUAUUUGCAACAAAGAGGAUAAAUAGUAUAUUACCUCUUAAAACAGUGCAUUUUCUUUCUGUGCAAAUAUUUUUUCUCUUUAUUUAUAUAGAAAUGUUAACAAGAGGGAAAAACAUGAACAAAGGAGAAACAAUUAAAUAUUCUUUAAAAGGGUACAGUUUAGAUAAAAAAUGUGAAUAAUAAGAAAUGAUGUAACAAGAGGGAAAAAGUGAACUUUUGUUUAAUGUAGUGUAAUGAUUCAUCUUAAUGGAUGCAGUUUACAUCUGAAAGGGUUAUAGAAGAAAAUUUAUAAAUAUCUAUCAAGAGGUAAUUUUGUUUUAGAGUGUACUUUUAUCUUAAGUUGCAGUUUUAAUCUUAAGUAGGCAACUUAUAAUUUUUUUGAACAUUAACGAUGCAAUUCAUAUUCAUCUUUUUUUAUAUAAUUUUUUUUUUAUAUUUUUUUUGUUUUUUUAUAUUUUUUUUUUUGUCACCUUCUGUCAACAGGACCCGGUGCGGCGACUUGAAGCGCUAAGGACCCCAUUUCCCGAUCUGUAGAGCGCGUGACCUCACGGUGUCGACGUCGGCUGCGGCGAAGAUGCUAUCGUCGUCGGAAGGCAGCAGAGAUGGGGAGAGGAGAGAUGAGAAGCGGGGAAAAGCGAGUAGGCGGAAAGGCGGUUCGUCGCGAGGACGGUGGAAAGAGUCGGAAAAGAAAAAAUAAGAAAAAGCAAAAAAAAAAUUCGCGGGCGCCUUGGCGCGUAGAAGGCGAGGAGGUGGGGGUCGUGGACGAGGGCAAGUCAGGCGAGGCGAGGCGCGAGAGAAGAAUCGUUGAGAGACGCGAGAACCGGUUUCCGCCUCCGCGCUCCCUCUCCAUGGCGAGAAAAAGAAGAACAGAGAACGAGGAGAGGAGAGGAAAGAGGAAAUAGAAAAAAUAAAAAGGUUAUUGGGGGUUCUGUUGUGAAAAAGGAAUCGAAUCUAAAAACGAAAUAAGUGGACCGAGCCGGUUUUGAAAAGUCCAAAAUAAAUGAGUUUUUUAUGCAAUUGGCCUAUAAAAUAUGUGCACGAGUAAAAAAAUACUCAAAAUUUUAAAACAUCUUCUAGCUACAAAGUUUAGAAAUCAGUACGUGAAAUAUGAUCUUCUAUUUCAUCUCUUUCGCCUUAAAGAAUUUUAGAAAUGUUAUCACAUACAAAAGAAAUUAAGGACUAAAAAUUAAAAAAAUUAUAAGUACUAAAAUCGGACUAUCAUUUUACUUAUUUAAUUUCCAUAUAAUGUAUUAACUAAUACCAUAUUGAUUUCUUGCCAGUGGCCAGAAACCAUUAAUCUUGCAUAAUAAUAUAAUAUUAAUUAAGUGAUAGAUAAUCUAUUAACUCUCUUCUAUAUAUUCAUAUGUUUCAUCAUAUUUUAUAUUAAUUUUAUAUUAAUUCUUUUUUUUUUUGUAAUACUCUCUCUCCGCAACUUCACCUCCCCUCUAUCCCCACUUACGUUUUGUGUAGGUUAUGAUUUCAUUAAUAUUUCAUCAAUUAUUUGGUAUAUUAGAAGGUGAUUCUAUUAUGUAAUUGAUAUCAUAAUUGAUUAUAGACUAAUUAUUCGUAGUCACCGUUUCAUUCUUUUUUUAANNNNNNNNNNNNNNNNNNNNNNNNNUUUUUUAUGAAAUUUUAAAAUAUAUUUACCUAAUAUGUAAAAUAAUUAGAUUUUAAAUUUAGGCUCUCAGUAUCAAUCAUUACAAGAUUAAUUCUAUUUGAAUGUUCUCGAGCUGAUCCUCCUCUACACAUAUCGUCUUUGCUAUCUCCAUGCCACCGAUCCCAUCCGUGAGUAUUUUUUUCAAAUAUGAUAAUUUUUUUAUAUAGAUUUGAGUGAUUUGGCGAGAAUUAGUAAUAUUUUGAGGUUAAUUAGAAUUUUUUUGGUUCAAUUUGAGCGAUUUGGCAUGAAUAGAUGACAUUUUGAAAUGCUAUAUGUUAUAGAAAUGCUAUAUGUUAUUUGCAUAAUUAUUAUUCGUACUACAUUACACAUUCUAGACUAAAUGAAUGAACAAUCUAUAUUGUAUAUAUUAGUAUAUUUCUAUAUACUCUAAUUAGGAUUUAUUUAGAAUUUUUUUUUUCCUAUUGCAUCGAUUGCUAUAUAAUUGUCUAUAUUGUACCCUUUUUGACAUAGUAAUAUUUUAUUUAGUUAUAUUAAUAUUUUUAUUAUUUAUAAAUUUUUUUACUUUAGCAGUAACUAUCCGCCGCAUCGUGCAGGUACCUACACUAGUGUUAUAUUAUAUUGGCAUCCAGGCUAAGGACAGUUGUGUUAACCUCAUCACAACCAACUUGGUCCAUUAUUUUAUUGACCACAAACAUGACCCUCAAUUAGUUUAGUUUAAUUUAAUUUAAUUUGUCCACCUUAAUGCCCCACCAAAACCCACCCCUUUUUAUCUUUCAAACAAUCUCCUACUUUUCUCCGCUCCUAAGAACACUCUCUUGGGAAAACCCACCUAUAAAAAUUUAAAACAGAUCAUUAAAUAAAAGCCCAAUUGUCCAAUUUGCAUAACUAAAUUUUCCAACACCAAAUUGUCCCAUGCUUUCGCGCAGCUACUUGUAUGCCCAAAAAUUAUGGUAAAUAAAAUAUACUUUAUUUAUCUAGAAGUCAAUUUUAUUAUGCUAGUCUUAUUACUAUUUUAUUAUUUUAAUAAUAAAAAUUUUAAAAAAGUUUUUGAACUCUAGAUGGGAUGUAAAAUAUACGCGAGUGUUAUUUCUCUAAUAAGCCCAAUUGCCCAAUUGGUACAAAACCUGCAGGUUUUCACACCCCAAAUUGUUUUUUUUUUUUGGUAAAAAAUAAGUCAUCAAAGACCCACUCCUUUUUUUCCACCAAAACCUCACCAUAUAUAAAACACACCCCUUGGAAUUUUCAACUGCAAAAUAUUCAAACAAACCAUAAAAUAAUCAGCCAAGUUGACCCAUUUGAGCUUGCUCAAAACUUUUUAUAAAUAGAUUUUGCAGGCAAAAAAAUAAUGCUACACAUAUAUAUACAUCCAUUUUUGAAUGUUUAUAUAUAUUAUUAUCUUAACAUUAUAUUACUACCGCAGCUCCAACUUUUUUUACACCCAUUUUAUCAUGUAUAUCUUUUCAAUACUAAAAAUUCAACAAAAAUGAUCUUAAAUCUUGUAAUAAAAAAAGUUGUAAACUAUCCAUCCCAGCAGCAGGAUGUACAAGGAGCAUUUUUAUUCUCCAACAAACUCUUUUUUAAAGCAAUAAAUAUAAUCCCCAGUUGCCCCAUUUGCACAAAUUAAAGCCCCAGGUCUCCUAACCUGUUCCUGCCCCAACAAAGCCCAACAAAAUAAAAUUAAAAAUAAAAAAAUUAAAAUUAAAAAGUUCACCAAAAACCCACACCCCUUCCUCCUAAUUAGUCCUAAACACAUCUCUCUCUCUCUCUCUCUCUCUCUCUCUCUCUCUCUCUCUCUAUAUAUAUAUAACAUAAAACCACCCCUCCACCCACUCCUUCCUCUAAUACCCACUUUUACGGAGAGAGAGUAGAGAGAGAGAGAGAGAGAGAAGAGAAAGAAAAGAAAGAAGAGGAAAAUGCCUUGCAUAGUCCCUACGAAACGACCGUACAGAUGCAGCACCAAAUGGUGGUGUGGGGUCGGGCGGCGCGGCGCGGCCGCAAAAGGCUGCACGACGCACCAAGUGCCACGGAGGAAGGGUGGCGCGGCAACAAACGACAAGCGCGCGCGGCGGCGGACACGUGCUCGCUCGGCGGGGUGCAAGGCGGGCGGCGCACCGGUGCGCAGGUGUGGUCGGUGUUCGCAAAAAUAGAGCACAGAGACAUAUCGACGCCCCGCAGUCGAGUAAGAAGUCGUUCGUAGCGACAGACCUGCCACGUCAUCGGCGGCGGGUCCACGCGGCGCCCGGAGUGCGCGUGUGUCGGGCCCCCGGCGGCGAACGAGACCGGGAGCGGAACUGAACUGGGAUUCCAAUGAAGAACAGGAGCCGCCACGUGGUCUGAGCUUUCCCGUGUCGUCGCCGACCACCCGCCCUCGCGCAAACAUACUCAUGUCGUGACCACGCCCUCCACGCCGCCCCUUCGCUUUUCCCGUCGCACUCCGUGGACGGUCGAGGGGCUACCGUCGUCGUCGAGUCCUACGUCGUCGACGUCCCCGCCCGAAACCCGCGAACGACACCCGCCUCUUCGACACCAUUCGUCCCCUGCAACCUCCACUCCCUCGCCGCACCGCCGAGAAGCUCACCUCCAACCCUACACCCCCCCACCUCCAAAACCUAAUUUCACCCCACCCCCAACCCCUUCUAAGGUAAAAAUGUACUCAACCCCCCCCCCCCCCUACACUAUUUUUCUCCUUCGAAAUAGCCCCCCUCCUUUCCGACUUUUUUUAUUAUUUAUUUUCAUAUAUAUAUAUAUAUAAUUAUAUUAUAUAAUACGCGUGCUCAUCUAAUUACUUUCUAAUUAAUUGUAUUAUGAGAACUUCGUAAAAUUUCCAUUUAAUUUAAUAGCUCCACUGGCUACUGGUGGCUGUUGAAGUUUCGAUGAUUAAUUUUUUAUUAAAAAUGUUGAGAGAGUACAGUUUUAAUUAAUUAAUGAACCAGAAAAAAAAAAAGAAAAAGAAAAAACAAAAGGGAGAGUCAAGGGAGGUAGUUCACAAUGCGGUAUAAUCGAGGGGUCGCUGUACAUAUUUGCCUCUUUCUUUGUUUGUUUGUUUCUUUCUUAAUAUGUUUUCCAACAAACCCCGAGGUGGCGCGGGCCCCACCACGCCCAUCCACUUGAAAGGAGAGGACGACGACGACGAUGACGACUUCCUCGUUGCGUUACCGCCUCACCCGCAUUCAAAGCCGUGGCCUCUUUUUCCUUUCCUUUCCUUUCUUUU